rnacentral:rRNA from 1 species
GACGAACGCUGGCGGCGUGCUUAACACAUGCAAGUCGAACGGUAAGGCCCUUCGGGGUACACGAGUGGCGAACGGGUGAGUAACACGUGGGUGAUCUGCCCUGCACUUCGGGAUAAGCCUGGGAAACUGGGUCUAAUACCGGAUAGGACCACUGCCUGCAUGGGUGGUGGUGGAAAGCUUUUGCGGUGUGGGAUGGGCCCGCGGCCUAUCAGCUUGUUGGUGGGGUGAUGGCCUACCAAGGCGACGACGGGUAGCCGGCCUGAGAGGGUGACCGGCGACACGGGGACUGAGAUACGGCCCAGACUCCUACGGGAGGCAGCAGUGGGGAGUAUUGCACAAUGGGCGCAAGCCUGAUGCAGCGACGCCGCGUGAGGGAUGACGGCCUUCGGGUUGUAAACCUCUUUCAGUACCGACGAAGCGCAAGUGACGGUAGGUGCAGAAGAAGGACCGGCCAACUACGUGCCAGCAGCCGCCGUAA